AGGGUUCGAUUAUGGCUCAGGACGAACGCUGGCGGCAUGCCUAACACAUGCAAGUCGAACGAGAAAGUUCCUUCGGGAGCAAUUAAAGUGGCGCACGGGUGAGUAACGCGUAGACAAUCUGCCCUUCAGUCUGGGACAACUUUUCGAAAGGAGAGCUAAUACCGGAUAACAAUGCAUGACACAAGUUGUAUAUUUGAAAGCUUUAUGUGCUGAAGGAGGGGUCUGCGUCCCAUUAGCUAGUUGGUAAGGUAAAGGCUUACCAAGGCAACGAUGGGUAGCGGGUUUGAGAGGACGAUCCGCCACACUGGAACUGAGACACGGUCCAGACUCCUACGGGAGGCAGCAGUGGGGAAUAUUGCACAAUGGAGGAAACUCUGAUGCAGCAAUGUCGCGUGAGUGAAGAAGGCCCUUGGGUCGUAAAGCUCUUUUAUGGGGGAAGAUGAUGACGGUACCCCAAGAAUAAGCACCGGCUAACUAUGUGCCAGCAGCCGCGGUAAUUC
rnacentral:rRNA from 1 species